rnacentral:rRNA from 1 species
ACAGAGGUGGCAAGCGUUGUUCGGAAUUAUUGGGCGUAAAGAGCACGUAGGCGGCCCUACAAGUCAGCUGUGAAAUCCUUCUGCUCAACGGAAGAACGGCAUCCGAUACUGCAUAGCUUGAGUGUGGGAGGGGAGAGUGGAACUUCUGGUGGAGCGGUGAAAUGCGUAGAUAUCAGAAGGAACAUCGGCGGCGAAAGCGACUCUCUGGCCCGUAACUGACGCUGAGGUGCGAAAGCUAGGGGAGCAAACGGG